UUAGCGGCGGACGGGUGAGUAACACGUGGAUAACCUACCUAUAAGACUGGGAUAACUUCGGGAAACCGGAGCUAAUACCGGAUAAUAUUUUGAACCGCAUGGUUCAAAAGUGAAAGACGGUCUUGCUGUCACUUAUAGAUGGAUCCGCGCUGCAUUAGCUAGUUGGUAAGGUAACGGCUUACCAAGGCAACGAUGCAUAGCCGACCUGAGAGGGUGAUCGGCCACACUGGAACUGAGACACGGUCCAA
rnacentral:rRNA from 1 species